rnacentral:rRNA from 1 species
GUGGGGAAUCUUGCGCAAUGGGCGAAAGCCUGACGCAGCCAUGCCGCGUGAAUGAUGAAGGUCUUAGGAUUGUAAAAUUCUUUCACCGGGGACGAUAAUGACGGUACCCGGAGAAGAAGCUCCGGCUAACUUCGUGCCAGCAGCCGCGGUAAUACGAAGGGGGCUAGCGUUGCUCGGAAUUACUGGGCGUAAAGGGCGCGUAGGCGGACAGCUUAGUCAGAGGUGAAAGCCCAGGGCUCAACCUUGGAAUUGCCUUUGAUACUGGCUGUCUUGAGUUUGGGAGAGGUGAGUGGAACUCCGAGUGUAGAGGUGAAAUUCGUAGAUAUUCGGAAGAACACCAGUGGCGAAGGCGACUCACUGGCCCAAUACUGACGCUGAGGCGCGAAAGCGUGGGGAGCAAACAGGAUUAGAAACCCUGGUUAGUCC